rnacentral:rRNA from 1 species
CCUACGGGAGACAGCAGUGGGGAAUAUUGCACAAUGGGGGAAACCCUGAUGCAGCGACGCCGCGUGAAGGAAGAAGUAUUUCGGUAUGUAAACUUCUAUCAGCAGGGAAGAAAAUGACGGUACCUGACUAAGAAGCCCCGGCUAACUACGUGCCAGCAGCCGCGGUAAUACGUAGGGGGCAAGCGUUAUCCGGAUUUACUGGGUGUAAAGGGAGCGUAGGCGGUUUAGCAAGUCAGAAGUGAAAGCCCGGGGCUCAACUCCGGGACUGCUUUUGAAACUGUUGAACUAGAGUGCAGGAGAGGUAAGUGGAAUUCCUGGUGUAGCGGUGAAAUGCGUAGAUAUUAGGAGGAACACCAGUGGCGAAGGCGGCUUACUGGACUGUAAAUGACGCUGAGGCUCGAAAGCGUGGGGAGCAAACAGGAUUAGAUACCCUGGUAGUC